AUCUAACUGACGAGUUCCGAAUAGGACGAAACGCGCAUCUUAGAU
rnacentral:hammerhead_ribozyme from 1 species